rnacentral:rRNA from 1 species
GACGAACGCUGGCGGCGUGCUUAACACAUGCAAGUCGAACGGAAAGGUCCUGCUUUUGUGGGGUGCUCGAGUGGCGAACGGGUGAGUAACACGUGAGUAACCUGCCCUUGACUUUGGGAUAACUUCAGGAAACUGGGGCUAAUACCGGAUAGGAGCUCCUGCUGCAUGGUGGGGGUUGGAAAGUUUCGGCGGUUGGGGAUGGACUCGCGGCUUAUCAGCUUGUUGGUGGGGUAGUGGCUUACCAAGGCUUUGACGGGUAGCCGGCCUGAGAGGGUGACCGGCCACAUUGGGACUGAGAUACGGCCCAGACUCCUACGGGAGGCAACAGUGGGGAAUAUUGCACAGUGGGCGGAAGCCUGAUGCAGCAACGCCGCGUGCGGGAUGACGGCCUUCGGGUUGUAAACCGCUUUCGCCUGUGACGAAGCGUGAGUGACGGUAAUGGGUAAAGAAGCACCGGCUAACUACGUG